rnacentral:rRNA from 1 species
UGGGGGAUAUUGCACAAUGGGCGAAAGCCUGAUGCAGCGACGCCGCGUGGGGGAUGAAGGCUUUCGGGUUGUAAACCUCUUUCGCUAUCGAACAAGGCCAGCUUAGGGUGGGUUGAGGGUAGGUGGAGAAGAAGCGCCGGCUAACUACGUGCCAGCAGCCGCGGUAAUACGGAGGGCGCGAGCGUUGUCCGGAAUUAUUGGGCGUAAAGGGGUUGUAGGCGGCUUGUUGCGCCUGCUGUGGAAACGCGGGGCUUAACUUCGGGCGUGCAGUGGGUACGGGCAGGGUUGAGGAGGGUAGGGGUGGCUGGAAUUCCAGGUGGUGCGGUGGAAUGCUCAGAUGUCUGGGGGAGCACCGAUGGCGAAGGCGGGUCACUGGGCCAUUACUGACGCUGAGGAGCGAAAGCAUGGGUAGCGAACAGG